ensembl:miRNA Mir6921 microRNA 6921
CACACUGAGGGGCAUGAGGUAGGAAGCCGGGAGUGGGGGGACAGUAAGUCUGAAACGGGCGACUACUCCUUGCCUCUCAG